rnacentral:sRNA from 1 species
UGCUGCUGUUGCUGCUGCUGCUGCUGUUGCUGCUGCUGCUACUGCUGCUGCUGCUACUGCUGCUGCUUGGCCCUGGCUGGAGACAUCUCACUACACCCAGGAGCAGCCACUUCCCCAGCUCUCCUCCUCCUCCUUCGCCUCCUCCUCCUCCACUCCCCCCCUUUAUUACCCUUUGUGUCAUCCUCCACAGCUCCAGGGAAGGCACUCAAAAGUGGGGGGCAGGAAAGAUGUACAUUGAAGAUGUCAGUUUCUACAUGUGGGAAGUAGACAUUGAAGGCUUUAUGGUUUACAGACAAGAUCUUUAGAAGUUAAGCACUAAAG